UGGACUUGUAAAAAGACAACAGAAGAGCCUCAAAGACGAGAGGAAGCAAGAAGAUAAAGCAGGUCCAUCAGCCUCCAACUCUACCUCCAUCAUUGCUAUCAUCCAAGAAGCUGACAAUGCUGGUCUACCUGUGCCUACUGUAGUGGAGAGCAGUACUAUCGUGCUUACUACCACACCUGGCUCUCCAGUUUGUACUCCUCCAGUGGAUCCAGCUGACUGAAUAAUAAAGAUUAUAGUCCAGUUAUUGUUUUUAAUCAGAA